UUACGGCCAUACCACGUUGAACCACCGGUUUCCGUACGAUCGCCGAAGUUAAGCAAUGUCGAGCCUGCCCAGUAUCUAAUUGGUUGAGCCCUUGAGAAUACCAAAUAUUGUAA